rnacentral:lncRNA from 1 species
GGACGUGGCAACUGGAGUUUCUUCUCCGUAUAUUUCGGCAUUCAGUUCCUUUUUUUUUUUGUUUUAACUCAGGAAAAAAUCUCAAUUGCGUUUAGUAUUUUGAAAGCCACUUUAUUGCUUCCCGAGCCUCAGUCAUGUGUGGUGGGAGGCUGCUGUGGGUGGCACCUGGGGCGUCCACGGCCGCCAAGGCGGGAGGACGUCAGGCCCUGCUUGCUCCCACCCCUUCCAGGUGAGAGCUCCCGGGCACGCCCGUCGUUGGCUCUUCGUCCUCUUGGUGUUCUUCCCUGUUGCUUCAAAUCAGGUUCCUGUCUCAAAAAUCCGAAAAAGAAAUCCUCCCAAAUGACUCUGUGCCCGACGCUCCGUUAAGGCAUCGUGCUAGGCGUUCUCAAACUCGUGAAAUGACUACACUGCACAGGAAGACCAAACAGAGACAGAGUUCUGGUUAAAUCACACAAGUCCCUGGCAUGAGACCAAGAAGUCACAGAGCCCAGGUCUUAGCCCUCAGAGUGUGAGAGAAGACAUGAAGGCAUCAGGGACACUGUGCGAGUGGGCACUGCUGCUUUCCACUGCUCUCCCUAGACUGCAGCCAGGAGGCUGCCUCUGCCCUGCCAGGUCAGAUUCCCCCAAGAGGCCCUCCCAUAGCACCCUGGGCAUAUGGCCGUUUUGUACUUAGCACUCCGAACUGUGUUGACUGGUUUCUCUCUCUCUCCCUCACUAAUCUGUGAGCAUUUUUGUAACCUCCAUGCUCCGUACAAUGCCUGGAGCAUAGAUUUCUCAAGAAAUCUUUGUUGAACCUUUUCUUCCUCCAUAUUAAACCAGACCUUGCAUCACAG